UACGUAGGGACCGAGCGUUGUCCGGAAUCAUUGGGCGUAAAGAGCGUGUAGGCGGCUAUUUAAGUCCUGCGUGAAAUCCUGCGGCUCAACCGCAGACGGUCGUGGGAAACUGGAUGGCUAGAGUGCGGGAGAGGAGAGUGGAAUUCCCGGUGUAGCGGUGAAAUGCGCAGAUAUCAGGAAGAACACCUAUGGCGAAGGCAGCUCUCUGGGACGGUACUGACGCUGAGACGCGAAAGCGUGGGAGCGAACAGG
rnacentral:rRNA from 1 species